rnacentral:lncRNA from 1 species
GGUGUGGUGAUUUACAAUUAGUGGAGUGGGAACAGGUGUGGUGAUUUACAAUUAGUGGAGUGGGAACAGGUGUGGUGAUUUACAAUUAGUGGAGUGGGAACAGGUGUGGUGAUUUACAAUUAGUGGAGUGGGAACAUGUGUGGUGAUUUACAAUUAGUGGAGUGGGAACAGGUGUGGUGAUUUACAAUUAGUGGAGUGGGAACAGGUGUGGUGAUAUACAAUUAGUGGAGUGGGAACAGGUGUGGUGAUUUACAAUUAGUGGAGUUGGAACAGGUAUGGUGAUUUACAAUUAGUGGAGUGGGAACAGGUGUGGUGAUAUACAAUUAGUGGAGUGGGAACAGGUAUGGUGAUUUACAAUUAGUGGAGUGGGAACAGGUGUGGUGAUUUACAAUUAGGGAAUGUGGGAACAGGUGUGGUGAUUUACAAUGAGUGGAGUGGGAACAGGUGUGGUGAUUUACAAUUAGUGUAGUGGGAACAGGUGUGGUGAUUGACAAUUAGUGGAGUGGGAACAGGUAUGGUGAUUUACAAUUAGUGGAGUGGGAACACGUGUGGUGAUUUACAAUUAGUGGAGUGGGAACAGGUGUGGUGAUUGACAAUUAGUGGAGUGGGAACAGGUGUGGUGAUAUACAAUUAGUGGAGUGGGAACAGGGUUGGUGAUUUACAAUUAGUGGAGUGGGAACAGGUGUGGUGAUUGACAAUUAGUGGAGUGGGAACAGGUGUGGUGAUUUACAAUUAGUGGAGUGGGAACAUGUGUGGUGAUUUACAAUUAGUGGAGUGGGAACAGGUGUGGUGAUUUACAAUUAGUGGAGUGGGAACAGGUGUGGUGAUAUACAAUUAGUGGAGUGGGAACAGGUGUGGUGAUUUACAAUUAGUGGAGUGGAAACAGGUGUGGUGAUUUACAAUUAGGGAAUGUGGGAACAGGUGUGGUGAUUGACAAUUAGUGGAGUGGGAACAUGUGGUGAUUUACAAUUAGUGGAGUGGGAACAGGUGUGGUGAUUGACAAUUAGUGGAGUGGGAACAGGUGUGGUGAUUUACAAUUAGUGGAGUGGGAACAGGUAUGGUGAUUUACAAUUAGUGGAGUGGGAACAGGUGUGGUGAUUUACAAUUAGUGGAGUGGGAACAGGUGUGGUGAUUUACAAUUAGUGGAGUGGGAACAGGUAUGGUGAUUUACAAUUAGUGGAGUGGGAACAGGUGUGGUGAUUUACAAUUAGUGGAGUGGGAACAUGUGUGGUGAUAUACAAUUAGUGGAGUGGGAACAGGUGUGGUGAUAUACAAUUAGUGGAGUGGGAACAGGUAUGGUGAUUUACAAUUAGUGGAGUGGGAACAGGUGUGGUGAUUUACAAUUAGGGAAUGUGGGAACAGGUAUGGUGAUUUACAAUUAGUGGAGUGGGAACAGGUGUGGU